UGGGGAAUCGUCUAGCGGCAGGACUGCGGACUCUGACUCCGCCAACCGUGGUUCGAAUCCACGUUCCCCAACCA
rnacentral:tRNA from 1 species